rnacentral:lncRNA from 1 species
UCUGAAAGAGAUGUAGUCCUGACUAGCUACCUACCUAACACUUAGGAUUAGGUAGGAUUAGGUUCAAAGCUUCCAGCAGGCAUGUGUGAUGACUCAACUUUUUUCCCCAUCAGAUCGACCAUGUUGAUCACAGUCUUUUAAGCCAGUUUAUCUGACAUGCCUGCUUGACAGCGCCUGCUGCUGCUGUGCCCCUUGGUCCAGGUAGUUGAUGUUAUUUUCUGUAUUUUUUUUACCUAAGGUUUGCUGACGGCCAAGACCAGGCUUUGAAUGAAUGGUGAACUCAGAGGGGAGCGCGUUGGUAAGUGUCCCUCCUCCAGUGCAGACUUGUUUCUACUUGACACAAAUUGGGCUGGUGAAGCUGAUGAUACCACUUCUUUCCCCAUCAGAUCGACCCUGUUGAUCUCAUAUGCUAAUAGCCAGUUUUCUCUGAUGCACCAGCCCCUGGAAUGACUCAUCUUGGCUUUAAUCUGUUUCAUGUAUUAAUGGCUCCCAUCUAUUUUCUUUUCUACAGGCCUGAGGAACCCACGGAUGCCAGUGUUGGUCUAUUCUUGCUUUCAGGUACCCCUUGGAACACAGAAUAGCAGUCUAGUCCUGCUGCCACCCCCACAAGGCUGGGCAUGGUUCAAAGGCAUGCAGGAUGCAAAGAAGAGUCAGCUUUGGCUGGGGAGGAGUGGUUUGGUGUACACUGCUACUGAAAUAGAAACUUUUGGCCUUCUGUCUGUAGAAAUAAAAAUCUGACUUGGUGAUGUUUUU